rnacentral:rRNA from 1 species
GACGAACGCUGGCGGCGUGCUUAACACAUGCAAGUCGAACGGAAAGGCCCUGCUUUUGUGGGGUGCUCGAGUGGCGAACGGGUGAGUAACACGUGAGUAACCUGCCCUUGACUUUGGGAUAACUUCAGGAAACUGGGGCUAAUACCGGAUAGGAGCUCCUGCUGCAUGGUGGGGGUUGGUAAGUUUCGGCGGUUGGGGAUGGACUCGCGGCUUAUCAGCUUGUUGGUGGGGUAGUGGCUUACCAAGGCUUUGACGGGUAGCCGGCCUGAGAGGGUGACCGGCCACAUUGGGACUGAGAGACGGCCCAGACUCCUACGGGAGGCAGCAGUGGGGAAUAUUGCACAAUGGGCGGAAGCCUGAUGCAGCAACGCCGCGUGCGGGAUGACGGCCUUCGGGGUGUAAACCGCUUUCGCCUGUGACGAAGCGUGAGUGACGGUAAUGGGUAAAGAAGCACCGGCUAACUACGUG